UUUUAUAUUAACUUUUAUAGUACUUAGUUCAAAUUUUUAUAUUCUUAUUAUUCAAUUAUUAAAUAAUAUGUAAUUUUGUGAAAUAGAGUAUAAUUGAAAAAAAUUUGGUAAUUAGGCUUAUUGAACAUUAUAAGUAAAUAUUUAAAACUAAUGAUGGGUACAAAGAGCGGUAUAAAUUGAUAACUUAGUUUGCAAAAAUGAAUUUAAAUGAAUUUACAAAAAAUUAAAAUAAAUGGGUUAUAAAUGGGUAAUUGGGUUAUCCAAUUCAUUUUUUGACUUACCCAUUUAUACCCAUCUAAUUAAAUGGGUAUAAAUGGGUUGACUCACUUAUACCCAUUACCUAUUUUACCCGAUCCAAACCCGCCCAAGUCACCCAUUUUGACACCUCUAAUUAUAAUGCAUGCAUUUAUCUGUUUCUUCUUUGUUCCAUUUUUUUUUGGAGGGGACAGGGAAGGGUUGGGGCAACGUUCUAAAUUGCUCAAUUGUUUUUUUAUUGUUACUAAUGUUGAGCAGUCUAUGUCUUUGUGAAAUUUAACAAGAUCCCUUGUGCCUAUGAUGUGCUUUUGAGGAACGUUCUAAAUUGCUCAAGUGUUUUUUUAUUGUUAAUAAUGUUGAGCAGUCUAUGCCUUUGUUAAAUUUAAUAAGAUCCCUUGUGCCUAUGAUGUGCUUUUGAGGAUAUUAAUCACUGACCCUUCUAUUUCGAAUAUAUGUUUAUUGAACACUCAUUUUCUUGAUAUUUCUUUUUCCUGCAGGAACUAACACCUGGGAUACAUUUGAGCUCCGAGUUCACAAGCGGGUGAUUGACCUUUUCAGCUCUCCAGAUGUGGUGAAGCAAAUCACCUCGAUCACUAUUGAGCCUGGUGUAGAAGUUGAAGUUACAAUUGCUGAUUCUUAACUUUCUUUGUCAGAGCGUCAUAGUUAGGUAGGAGGUGGUGGCUGGGAAUGUUACAUAUCCAACCCCACCUCCUUAUGCUUCAAUAUUUAUGGCACAUAGGGAGUGCUUUUUUGGUUAACAGUUUUGAAGUGUAGACAUCUGGUGGGAUGAGAGGAAUAUUCAGUUCUUUAUGAAUUUUAAUUUUCAGCUUCAAGUAAAAGUUUCUUUUAUACUCUCAAUGUAUGGAACUUUGGGUUGCAAAUGUUACGUGUAUUAGUAUGAUUUUUCUUUCUUCUGAUCGUUGUCUACAGCAAUUAGUAUGGUUUACAUAGCUUCACUAAUUGGUGAAACUAGCUUCCACUUUUUGUCAACCCUUAAGCCAUGUUGUUGACUCUAUACUUCCCCCCAAGUACUUUGGCCCAUAUGGCGACUUUUUGUUUUAAGAAUCUCCAGCAUGUUUUUGCAAGCAUGGUUCUAUUUACUCUCUUCAAUUUUUGAACCCCCAGCCCCCCUCUAUUCUUAGGCUGUGUAAUCAUAUUCCAGUUGAUCAGGUGCAUUCUCCUUUUUUCUCCUUCUCCCCAAAUGAAAUUCCUUAUUCUCUUCUCAAUGUCAGCAGUAAUAGUAGCCGGUAACAAGGAAGUUUGCAUAGCAUAUAUUGAUAUGGUAGAUACAACGGAUUUGACCAAUAGAGCUCUGCCUGCGUAUGAGAGGCACCUACCCUUCCAUCCCUGUAACCUCUUAUGAGAACCUUUUCCAAGAUUUCACCAUAUGUUCUUCUGUUUACCCUAGAGUGUAACAAGUAACAACAGGAUUCCAAGAUAUUUUCCCAGAUUAUUUGUUAAGCUCACUCCUGUUCUAUCCCUGAUCUGGUCUGCCAAGUCCCACUUCACAUUCUUUGAGCAAAAAAGUCGUGAUUUCCCAAUGCUGACCUUUUGUCCUGACAAGUCACAAAAUCUUUCCAAUACCCCUUGUAAGACUCUAGCUUGUUGCAAGCUUGCUUCAGUAAAAAGUAUGAGACCAUCCGCAAAAAAAAAGACGAGAGACUGCCGGACCUCUUCUGGAAGUCCUACCAGGUUUCCAAAUAACCUUCGUGACGUCUCUACUGAGUAGAUGCCCCAACCUUUUCCAUGCAAAGCACAAAGAGAUAUGGUGAUAGGGGGUCCCCUUAACGGAGACCUCUAGAUGGUAUGAAAGGUGCAAUGCGUUCUCCAUUCCAUAAAACUUCCAUGCUUGAUGCCUGUACACAGUUCAUGAUCUGAGAAAUGAGGCUCUUAGGAAAAUUCACCAUCUCCAAAGUAGAUGGUCAUAGGCUUUCUCUAAAUCAAUUUUAACUGCCAUGUAGCCUGUUCUCCCUUGUUUCCUUCUUAUACUAUGUAUAAUAUCUUGCGCAAUAAUUGCAUUAUCGCUAAUUUGCCUCCGAGAAUAAAAAGCUACAUUGAUCUGGGGCCACUAGCUCUGCCAUUAUUGGACGAAUUCUCUCAACCAAGAUCUUCAUUAUUAUUUUGUAAGAAACAUUGCAAAGUGAAAUCGGUCUAAAUUGAGUGAUGUUUGUUGGGUUUGCCACCUUUGGAAUUAAAGAAAUCAGAGUGCCAUUCACCUCUAUCAGCAUUGUCUUAUUUUGAAAGGUUUCAUGACAAAGUCCACCAUACUUGCCCCUACCAGAUGCCAAAAUUUCUGGUAAAAUACUGCACAUAUCCCAUCAGGUCCCGGGUUUUGCUGAUUUUAGGUCCCUUACCAAAUUAAAUUAGUCAAAAUUAGUCCCAAUCUAGAUUUCUAACCAUUUUUUAGUUUAAAUCCACCACGUAAUCCACACAUAAUCUUUUCUUGGGUGCAAAAUGAUCAAAUCUCACUUUUUUAAGGAAAAAAUAAAUGUAGGUUGGGUAAUUUGUUUCACUGCAAAUUUUUCUUAAGAGCAACAAUGAAUGUUCAUUGAGUGAUUUGUUUAAUUACAAAUAAAAUCUUUUUUGCACCUACAAAAAUGACUCGUGUCUGUCACAUGGUGUAUGUAGUUUAAAAAGUAUUCAAAAACUUAAAUUAAAAUUAAAUUUAAUCAACUUGAUUUUACAAAGGACAUAAAAAUUAAUAGUGAAAAGAUAAACAAAUACAUUGGACGAAAUAUGAGAUAUGUUUCGCAUGCAAAACAUAAGGCUUUGUUUGAAUUGCAUUUUUCUAAAUUUUUUGUAGAAAAAUUAAUGUAAUGAUUUGAUAUAUGUAAGGUAAAAGGGUAAUUGAAAAAUGUGUUGACAAAAAACGUAGCUAUUUUUCUUGAAAAAUUGGUUCCCAAACAAAGCCUAAAUUUCAAGGUUUGCUGGAACCCCCACCCCGCAUAAGUGAUUUUGCCGGUACUUUUUGCUAAACCCUGAGAAUACAACGCUGAAGCAUCCUGUACAAGAAUUACCACAAACGGAGCAUAAAGAUGGCGACGGGGUUAAGACUUGUAACGGAGAGAGUCGGCGACGGCGCCGGACAACCAGUCCUCGACACCGACAACGGGGAGGAACUCGUGCACGUCCAAUCUGGCGUCUCGAUCGUCAUCGGAAACCGCCCGCCUGAAUCCCCUGGAACUCUCUACAUCUCCACCAAGUAACUAAUCAUUCCGUCCUUUCCCUAAUUCUCUUCUUCACAUAUAUCUUCAGCUUAUGGAAAUGCGAAUGAAAUGUUUAAAAAUUGUAUAGGCAAGUGGUGUGGUUAAGUGAUACUGACAGAGGUAGGGGUUAUGCGGUGGGUUUCUUAGCGGUGUCGCUUCACGCCGUUUCUCGAGACCCAGAAGCUUAUCCAUCUCCUUGUAUUUACACUCAGGUAGAGACAUCCUUUUGUUGAAGCUAUUGCUAACUACUCCAUUAUCUUUUUUUAUUUUUGUUGAUACUGUUAGGGUUUAAGGUUUGAGCUUGUUAGGGCUUAUAACUAUUUAUUCCUGAUUCAAUUAAAGAACCAGACUAGGAGUUCGUGAAUGGUGCUGUAAAACUCCUUUGUUGAUACGGCUGCUUGUUAGAUUAUUAAUUCACGUUCAUGUAAAAACCCUGUAAAAUAGAAGUUUGUUUUUGGAAGCGAGAUUUGGCGAUGUGCUUAGUGAGAUUGAGUCUGGGGCAGUACUGAUGGUAUUUUUGGAGGUUCCGGUUACUUGGCUAACCAUUGCUGAGCAUUCAAUCGAGUGCUGAUCCAUUUGAUGUUUGAGUUAAUCGUGAAAUUUAGUAUGGGAGUAAUUAUCUAAACUCUAGAGGUUUGUCCAUCAUAGGCAUCUAAGUCAUAUGUCAAAGAUGCUUUGGGAUAAAGGAUUCUGGUACUACUGAGUUUUCUGGAAUAUUUGCUUUACUUGUGAAUGUCUAUUAAUUUUCUGCACUCAUAAUAAUUCCCCUAUUCGGAUGAUUAUAGGAUAUGAAGUAUACAUUUUUACCUUGAUUCCAGAUUGAGAAUGGUGUUGAGGAGGAUGAAUCAGAGGAUUCUGAUGCUGAGAGCAAUGAGACAUUAGAUUUGUCAAAGGUUACUGAGAUGAGACUAGUGCCAUCAGAUCCUGAUCAAUGUAGGCCAUCUGUUCCUAGUUUUAUGGUUUUAUUUAUGACUUCCGAGUUCUUUGUGCUUUUCCUGUGUAUCUUAUGCUUUUGAUUUUCGUCAUAUUCUAAACAGUGGAUACUCUGUUCGAGAUUUUCUGUGAAUGUGCUGAGCUUAAUCCUGAACCAGUUGAUGGUAAUUAUAAUUAUGAUUGGUAUAUAAUUUUUGUUUCUGUUGAUGCCGUUUUGACUAUUGCUUUUCAAAUAACUAUUGCAUUUUUGUACUAAUGAUGCUUUUUAUAGAGGAUGAAGGAGAGCAUAAUUGGGUAUUCAGUGCAGAUCAACUAGAAACUGGGGGUGCAGGUUUGGCUCUAGUCUUUUGUGUUUUCUUGAUAGCCGAUUGUCCUGACUGUUGCUCUGGAUUUCUUUUUCUCUACUCAUUCAUCGCUGCACUACUGCUGUAGAUGUUGAGGAGUCUGAAUAUCCCUUGCAUUCAAUUGGUUGUUCUAAUGGGGAUCCUGACUUAGCGCAUACAGUGCUUCAGGUAUCUCUAAUGAUUUUCUUCCUACCUUUAACUUACAUGUUAAUGAAUAGCCGUUACUUUUACAAUUCAACAUAGAAGCUGGUCAAUGGUAUUUCUGCUGUCAAGUCUAAUGAUGUGCAUGUACCUUCCAAAAAAUUUGGCCCAUUUCUGUUUUCACUAUUGAAUUAAGUAUAGACCAAAUUUUCCUAGGCUCGAGGGGAGGUUUAGAUGGGGAACUUGAGUAAAUACUGCAAGGACGCAAAAAACCAAGAUGCACAGGACUCACGAUGGAUUCCUUGCCAAAUUUGAGUUAGGGGUAGUCACAAGUAAAAUUUCUGAUUGUUCUAUGAGGUCAUUUCCAACUUCUCAUAGGGUGGUUGGCACAGAGGAAGUUUAGAUAGGGAAGUAGUGUAAAUACUGUAAAGACUCAACUGAGCAAGCUGCCUAAGAUACAUGAUGGAUUCCAUGCAAAUUUGAGUUAGAGGUAUCCACAGAUAAAAUUUGUGAUUAUUCCAGAUGGUCAUCCUUUCCAUUUUUUUGGAGCCUUGUGUGACAUUAUGCUUUCCUUUGUGGUGCGACAUUGUGUUUUGUGUUCUUUUUUUUUUGGAGGGUUUUUUUUUUGUUGUUUUGGGGGGGGGGGGGCAAGGGAGACCUUGGGGGUUGGUGAGCUUCCAACUAGAGGAAAUGAGCUUCCUUUUGGUUGUGAGGUUACUUAGUCGGCCAUUUCAUCCUCUCAUAGAUCGUUGAUAAUUUAAAUGUCAACUCUUUCCCUUUAAAAGUUCAAUUCUUACAAAACUGUUUUGUCAAUUUUUUUUGCAGCUUCAAAUAAAUGAUCAGCGGUUUGAGGAUGCAGAAGAGAUGGAGAGUGAUGAUAACAAAGGCCAUAACUGAGCUCUCAUUCGCUUCUUUGUUUUAUGUUGAAAUCUGUUAUUUACAUCUGCUACCUUAUCUCUGUUCAAAGAUGCGUGGAUAGUGUUGUAUACUGCUUAAGUAGGGACAAUUAGGCCUUCGGGAUUUUCAAGAUGACUGACUUUGAGAUCUUAAUCUCAUGCAUUUGUUUGUGGUUUUACCUAUGGCUUCCAAACUUUAAGAUGUAUCUCUAGUUGAACUGUAAUUUCACCCUGAACUUCUGUUUGCAUUUUUUCCGACUAAGUGGUGAAUUCUUCAUCAUGUUAUUCGACUAGAUUCCCAGAAAAGUACAACCAGGUAUAAAUUGUGGACUAUCCCGUAUUUUUUUCUAUGUGGAAUCUGCUGAAUCAUAAUCUGGUUUUCCAUUUUCUUCUAUGUAUAGAGGCUAAACCUUAUGGGAUUAUGAAAUCUGAAACAAGAAUUGCAUCCGAAUGGUUGUCAUUGAGUGACUUGACUUGAGAUUUUAAAAUGGUUUUCUGAAAACAACGGAAACUCUGAAUCCAGUCUAAUAAUUGAAAGCUAUUGUAAAACUGAGUUGAGAAUUUGGAAUUUUUCUACCUAGUGCUUUAGGGUGUGUUUGAUAAAAUUGAAAUUUGAAAACUGAAAUUUAAAAUUUAAAAUCUAAAAUUUGAAUCAAUUUAAUUAUUGAAUUGUUAAAUAUUAAAUCUAAUGCAUUUUGGUUUAUUUAUAUUUGGUGAUAAGUGAAUAGCUUAUCACUUAUUUAAAUCUAGAAAAUUUAGUGCUAUUUAAUUAAUUCAGAUGUUUAAUUUUUUAUUAUCAAACUCGUUUGAACAUAUUAAAAUUUGAAUUCAUUAAAUUUAAGUACUGAAUUGGAUUAUAAAAUAGAGUUUUAGCUUAAUUCUAUAAGAUAAAGACCCCGUUUGGCAAAUGAGUUUUUGAAUGUUUAUUUAAAAUUUUAUUAUAAUUUACUGUAGAAAUUGUAGAAAAUUUUUUUGGUGUAAAUGUUUGAAUAUUUUGAAAUAUAUAAUUUAAAAACUUUAAAAAAUUUUUUGAUAUUACUAUAGUUAAAGUUAUUAAAAAAACUUAUAGCAGACAAACUUUGCCAAAAAUUUACUUGCUAAACAAGGCUAAAAUAAAGAUUUUGUUAAAUUAAUGGACGAAAAGAAGAAGGUUCAACGCAUUUCCUUACUAGUUACUAACCCAGUUAGUUACUCCUUUUUUUUAUUUUGUCCUUUUUGGUGCUCUCGUGGGGACUAAUUUCUCAAAAUAUACGUUAAAAAAAAACAAUCCGUCAAAUGUAGCUCUGACAGGGUCUCAAACUAUACUUAUCGUGCUGAUUGUGUACGGCAGCGGCUCCAAUUUUUUCUUUUUAAUCUGCCUGUCCACUACCGUGCCCAAUCAGCACGGCGGGGAGACAGGCGGUCAAAAAAAAAACAAAGGAGCCAGGCCUGUGGUAGUUGCAAACUUGCAAUACAUUGCGUUGUUGUGCAGUUAGUUGCUGUAACUACUGGUGCAUCUAGUGGGGUUACAUGAGGAGAGCAAGAAAGACUUUGCAUUAUUCUUCUACUGGUACACAUUUAUAUGUCUUCACUUAAUUAGCUUGCAAUUUUUUCAGGGAUAUCUACAAUAGUAUUGGGUCUGUUUGGAUUCAGUAUUUUUUGAAAAAUAAUUUUUUCAUUUACAAUGCUACAGUAAUACACAAACAAAAAUAACUCCAAAAAUAUUAUAUCCAAACAAUAUAUAAAAAAUAACUCCAAAUAUACAAAAAAUAUAUUUAUAUAUAUAUUUAUAUAUAAAUAUUAUAUAUAAAAAUAUAUAUUUUGUUUAAAAUAUAUUUAUAAAUAUAUUUACAUAUAUAUUUAUGUAAAUAUAAAUAUAUAUAUAAAUAUAUUUAUUUCAAAAAAAAAAUUAAUAAAAUCAUACAAGUUUAUUUAUAAAUAUCAUAAAAGUUUAUAUUUAUUUAUAUAUAUUUAUAUAAAUAUAUGUAUUUCAAUUUUGUUUUAUAAUAUGUAUAUUUCAAUUAUGUAUAUUAUAUAUAUUAUAUUAAUAUUAAUAUGUAAUAUUCAAAUUAUGUAUAUUAUAUAUAUUAUAUCAGUUGAAAUAAAUAUAUAUAUUUAUAUAUAAAUAUAAAUAUUUUGUUUGCUUAAAGGACAGGGUUCCAGACUUCCAUUUCCUCCCUCUAUCCAUGUCCGCCAGAAUCUUGUUGAUUUUAUAGACCGAAUUAACCUCUCAAAAAAAGUGCAUGUGAUGUGAUUAAGUGCAAUUCUUGUACAGACCCUUCCCUAGUCUCAUGGAUUAGCAAUAGGGUUAAUUCCACUUUGUCCCCGCAAACUUUGGCCAAUAAUCCAUUUCAGUCCCUCAACUUCAAAAUGGGACACUUAAAUUUCUAAACUUAUAAAUACCUCCCAAUUAAGGAAAAUUGUUAACAGAAUCCUGAAUGCCAUUGGUGGUCGAAGAACGUGGCAAACACCAGCUUUUGACCGAGGGCAACAAUGAAAACCUCAUCCGGCCUUCUCUAAUAUUCACAAACCCCUUUUUCUUCUUCUUCAUAAUCAACAAUGUCUCCGUCCAAUAUGGCUUCUAACCUCAAUUCUCUCCUCGGCCCACCAGAGAUUUACGAUCACUCUCACCACACUUCUCCCCCCCCCCCUUUCUCCUCCUCCGCCAAAUCGGACCCUUUCAUGGACCUUAUGGUCACCAACUUUAACACCCUCACCACCCUCCCCGACAGUCCCCCUAUGGCCUUCACCGAAAACAACUCGGUAACCUUUCUUUCCAACGGCAACACUUGUUUGGAUUUUUUCUUUCACGUGGUUCCCAAUACCCCGCUAGAGUCCCUUACCCAACGCCUUCAACUCGCCUGGGAUUUCGAUCCCCUGAUUAAGCUGAUUUGCAAUCUUCGCGGCGUCCGCGGCACUGGAAUGAUUGCUGGCUUUAAAUGAUGGUGACGGUGGCGAAGUUGCUGACUAAGAAUCAAGCUGACGACGGCGUCAAAUAUCUGUUGAGUUAUUCAAUUACUUGGGGUCAAUACGUUUCUGCGAUUAGCUCAAUGUUUGGGGUGGAUACUGGGAAAACUCUCCAAGCCAAUGGAUUGUCUGAACAAAAUUUUAAUAUUUAUCCCUUUACGACUCUCUUAGUUCCUCUUCAGAACUCGCCAUCCAGUUCCCAAAUUGUGAAGCCCCCUCCGCCAUCGUCACAGCAGUCACCGCCAAGGGCAAACAAAAAAAGAAGUGUCUGGAUUGGAAGCAGAGAUUACAAAUUGGCUUGGAUGUGGCCACGGGGCUUAAUUAUCUUCAUAGCUACACUUCCCCUCCCCACAUGCACAAAAAACUAAAAAGCAGCAAUGUUCUUGUUGAUGCUGAUUUCUGGUCGAAGAUCAAUAAUUUUGGGCUAGCAAAAUCAGCAGAUGGGCAAGGAGGCCAGUUUGCCUUGACUAGGCACUGGCAAAGAAGUCGUUGUCUUGUAUGAAGCUGUGAAUGUGAACUUGGCAAAGAUUCUGAGCCCUGUGCUUGACGAGAAAGACGAGAUCGAGAACUUGAGCCAGAUCAUAGAUUCUUCUCUCGGAGGAAAUUAUCCUUCCGAACUUGCAAUUUUGCUCAUCAGAUUGAUUGCUAGUUGCUUAAAGAAAGAUCCAUCUGCCCGCCCAACCAUGCAUGAGAUUGUCUAGACUCUGUCCACAUCCGUCACUGCCACAACAUCUUGGCAUUCAAAACAAAGUGCCUAAAGCAUAUGCCUUCGGAUAGAUGAGUUGUUUUGGAGUUUUGUAGCUUUAUCUUUUUGUCUAUUUUUGAAGGAUAAUGGAGGAUUGAACCCAGAGGCCGUCAUGGAGACUGCAAUUUCUGGUGAGGAGUAUAAGAAGCUAGUGGUGCUGGAUUGAGAUGGGCUGCUAUGGAAAAUAUAUUAGUGUUAAAUAGCAGUAGUUACUUUUUCGACACAUGUACAAAUUUUCAAUAACAACAUUCCCCAAUCUUCAUUAACGGAACGUGUUUGCCACACUCUUUGACCACCAACGGCAGUUAGGAUUCUGUCAACAAUUUUUCUUAAUUGGGAGGUAUUUAUAAGUUUGGGGACUUAAAUGUCUCAUUUUAAAUUUGAGGGACUGAAGUGGGUUAUCAGUUAAAAUUUGGGAGGACAAAGUGGAAUUAACCCUUAGCAAUAUGUUGCUGGGAAGUUGACCUCAGAAUAUCCAAUUCUUCAAUCAAUUUUAAACAAAUAUUUUUGGUGGCUUUGAAACGGUCCAAGAGCCUGAGAAAGCCAGUAGACUUAGUAAUAGUGCAGCUGCAGGCUUGCAACUCAUGCCAUCAUGAUUGAAACAAUUGGUGGAGCGGCUGCACGAUGUCAGCCGCUACCAUGCUGACUGUGCACGGCAACAGCUACAAAACUUCUGCCACGACUCCCAAGAUGUUAGUCGCAGCCAUGCACACUUAGCACGGUAGCGGCUGACAUCUUCUGAGCCUCACUAAAAUUUUUGCAGCGGCUGAUUGACUUUUACCUGUUAGAUUGGGAAUAAAAAAUUUAUUUUGCUGCCAUGCUGAGUAGUUUGAGAAACACCCCAUGUCAGAGUUUCAUUUGGCGGAUGUUUUUUUUUAUACUUAUAUUCUGAGAAAUUAGCCUCUCGUGGGAAGCUUAAUGAAGUAUACAAGACAAUAAAUUAUCCCAUUUAUAAGUUUUUUUUUGUAUUGCUUUCAUUUUUUUUUUGUCAAACUUGAAUUGCUUUCAUUUCAUUCGCCAAAUAUUUUGGAAAUGAAAGGAAAAAAUAGAUUAUGUUCUGUUACAUUUUAUCCAUAACUUAAUAAAAUAUAAUUAUAAACAUAUUUUAAUACUUUACCCUCUUUUUGGUUAUUUUUAUAUUCAUCUUGUUAUUCUUAUGAAAAAUUUAUGAAAUAAUAAAUUUUAAUAGGAAUUUUAAUCUUUUUUUAAGAGAAAGAAAUCACAAGAACUACUAAAAUAUUGAAAAAGAAUUUUAAAAUGUUAACAAUUAUCGUUAUCAAAUUUAAUAUUCAAAAUUUUUAAUUUUAUAUAUUCAAAAACAUAUUAAUUAAGUACAAGUGGCUAAAUUGUUUCUCUCCAUAUAAAUACGUAAUAUUUCCUAAGUUACGAGGAUAGUAAAGUCAUUUGAUCAUUCAUGAUGUAAGUAUUGGGUUCCAAAUGAUUUAUAAGGGAGGUAAGUGAUAUUUUUAAAAUUUCAGUGAAGGAUAUGAAAUUGUUAGAAACCUCAAGGGAGGUUUCUGAAAUCAUCCUUAUAUAAAACCAACCCCCUCUGAAAACGCGGACCCCCUUAAAACCCUAGAGUUUUGCUUCCCACAAAGGAAGGAAACAGAGCCCAGCGUCGCUGCAACACCAUUCUCUCGGCCUCCUCUUCAUCGGGUACUCCCUUUCUCUCUCCUUCUCUUUAGAUAUUAGAGGAUGCUUUGUUUGGCGGUAUAUGUGUUAAUUUUUUGCCGACUUAUCGAGUAUAGUUCUAGGGAAGUGCUCGGUUUAUUCAUUUCAACAAUUUUGAUUUGCUUUUUGGGGCUUGAAAAAGGUCAGCAGCAGCAAACAGGGUUAUUGAAAAAAUGGCAUACCAAGCAGUGAAGUCGGCAAAGGUUGGUAUGGAGGAGCCUCAGGAGCAGGUUCAUAAGAUUAGGAUCACACUUUCCUCCAAAAACGUCAAGAACCUCGAGAAAGGUUAAUUUUUUUCUUCUUCUUUUAAUUAAAACCCUCUAGCCUAUUUUAACAAACCCUGGGGUUCAUCAGAACAUCUGGUUUUAUCUUAUAUGUAGCCUGUUCUAAUUGUGCCGAUUUAUCUACAUUCCUGUAUCUCAAUUUCUUAUGUUCUUUUUGGGUAUUGUUGGGAUAUAUAUUUGCGUAGUUUGUUCUGAUCUGGUUCGUGGGGCCAAGGAUAAGCGACUCAGGGUGAAGGGACCUGUAAGAAUGCCCACCAAGGUUCUUCACAUCACUACUAGGAAGUCUCCUUGCGGUGAAGGUAACUUCUUGAUUUCUGCUUAUUUAUUUGUGCCAUUUGAAUGAAUAUGUGAUGUGUAACGCUUCGAAUCCAGGGAAAAAAAUAGGAAAAAUGCUGUUUUAUGGCAUUUGAGUAUUGUAGACCAAAUAUUUGUUGACGUUGAUGUUAGGAUUAAUAACCUUAUAGUAUUUGAAGUUUAAUUGUAAUUGUUGUUGCUGAUUUUUAUUUUCUUCUUACAUUUGUCGAACUGUGGAUGAUUGGUAAAUGUGUUUUUGUUUAAAUGUCAUUAGUAUAUUGUCAAUUUGAAGGACAUGGUAUUGAAUAUGGGAAUGAAAUAUUGGCUGUUAAGCUUUGGAUUCUGAAGAAAAUUUUGGACUUUUUUCCGUCUUGAAAAGCGACCAGAGGAGUUGUGAUUUUUAGCUGCAAUAUAAUUGUGCUUGGAAACAGAGACAGGGAGCCUUGAACUUUUUGAUUUGUUCUGUUAUGUUUUAGGAACAAAUAACAAGAACUUUUCUCUGAUGUUAUCAGUCUUUGGUUUUAGUUGGUCAGAAUCAUGUUACAUUAUAUUAGAACCCAUUUGGCCAUUUCUGUUGCUUCCAGUCAUUUUUUGCCAAGGGAUUUUUCCUUGGAUUUUAAUUUUGUAUCAUUGUUGUACUGAUUCAAGGAGAUUGGGGAAUUAGUUUAUAUUAUUUUUAUGUCCUUGACAUAGAAGAUUAUAAUGCAUGGAUUUUUCCGUUUCUUAUUUGUUCCCUUUUUUUUUUUGGAGGGGACAGGGAAGGGUUGGGACAACGUUCUAAAUUGCUCAAGUGUUUUUUUAUUGUUGCUAAUGUGAGCAGUCUAUGCCUUUGUGAAAUUUAACAAGAUCCCUUGUGCCCAUGAUGUGUUUUUGAGGAUCGUUCUAAAUUGCUCAAGUGUUUUUUUAUUGUUACUAAUGUUGAGCAGUCCGUGCCUUUGUUAAAUUUAACAAGAUCCCUUGUGCCUAUGAUGUGCUUUUGAGGAUAUGAAUCGCUGACCCAUCUUUUUUGAAUAUAUGUUUAUUGAAUACUCGUUUUCUUGAUAUUUCUUUUUCCUGCAGGAACUAACACCUGGGAUACAUUUGAGCUCCGAGUUCACAAGCGGGUGAUUGACCUUUUCAGCUCUCCGGAUGUGGUGAAGCAAAUCACCUCGAUCACUAUUGAGCCUGGUGUAGAAGUUGAAGUUACAAUUGCUGAUUCUUAACUUUCUUUGUCAGAGCGUCAUAGUUAGGUAGCUGGUGGUGGCUGGGAAUGUUACAUGUCCAACCCCACCUCCUUAUGCUUCAAUAUUCAUGGCACAUAGCGAGUGCUUUUUUGGUUUACAGUUUUGAAGUGUAGACUACUGGUGGGAUGAGAGGAAUAUUCAGUUCUUUAUGAAUUUUAAUUUUGAGC
rnacentral:lncRNA from 1 species